rnacentral:rRNA from 1 species
UACGUAGGGUGCGAGCGUUAAUCGGAAUUACUGGGCGUAAAGCGUGCGCAGGCGGCUUUGCAAGACAGAUGUGAAAUCCCCGGGCUUAACCUGGGAAUGGCGCUUGUGACUGCAAAGCUGGAGUGCGGCAGAGGGGGAUGGAAUUCCGCGUGUAGCAGUGAAAUGCGUAGAUAUGCGGAGGAACACCGAUGGCGAAGGCAAUCCCCUGGGCCUGUACUGACGCUCAUGCACGAAAGCGUGGGGAGCAAACAGG